rnacentral:rRNA from 1 species
GACGAACGCUGGCGGCGUGCUUAACACAUGCAAGUCGAACGGAAAGGCCCUGCUUUUGUGGGGUGCUCGAGUGGCGAACGGGGGAGUAACACGUGAGUAACCUGCCCUUGACUUUGGGAUAACUUCAGGAAACUGGGGCUAAUACCGGAUAUGAGCGCCUGCUGCAUGGGGGGGGUUGGAAAGUUUCGGCGGUUGGGGAUGGACUCGCGGCUUAUCAGCUUGUUGGUGGGGUAGUGGCUUACCAAGGCUUUGACGGGUAGCCGGCCUGAGAGGGUGACCGGCCACAUUGGGAAUGAGAUACGGCCCAGACUCCUACGGGAGGCAGCAGUGGGGAAUAUUGCACAAUGGGCGGAAGCCUGAUGCAGCAACGCCGCGUGCGGGAUGACGGCCUUCGGGUUGUAACCCGCUUUCGCCUGUGACGAAGCGUGAGUGACGGUAAUGGGUAAAGAAGCACCGGCUAACUACGUG